UACGUAGGGUGCAAGCGUUUAAUCGGAAUUAUUGGGCGUAAAGCGCGCGCAGGCGGUCCUUUAAGUCUGAUGUGAAAGCCCACGGCUCAACCGUGGAGGGUCAUUGGAAACUGGGGGACUUGAGUACAGAAGAGAAGAGUGGAAUUCCACGUGUAGCGGUGAAAUGCGUAGAUAUGUGGAGGAAUACCGAUGGCGAAGGCAGCCUCCUGGGCCAACACUGACGCUCAUGCACGAAAGCGUGGGGAGCAAACAGGA
rnacentral:rRNA from 1 species